CGUGAACAAGAAUGAUAAUUAUUGUAUAAAUUUUUAAAUGUGAUCGUGAAAAGAAAAUAUAUGUUAUAUGGUAAAUAACAGCUCAAGUGAUUUUUAAAUUUCAAAUAAAAAAUAAAACAGUCUUGACCGCUUCGGAAACGAAUCGAUAAACCGGAAAGGGAAUGAUAGAAGAAAUUAACACAGGCAAUUUCCAUACAUGAGUGCCUACACAGAAUCAGCAAGGUCGAUUCACUGAACGGCCCUCAUUACAGAUUCGAAAUUAAUACAUAUUCCGAUCGUUCUACGCAUGCGCGUACUGCGCAUAUGCGAUUCUCGCCGUAUGGAAAUUUCGGAAACAAUGUUAUUUCGUGAUCAAACAUUAUCGAUAUCGCGAAUAAGUCAAGUUUUUGCUAAAUUAACCGAACUAAAAAAAAAACACAGAUGUCUUGCUUUAUCCUUCUCUCGAUAAUCUCGCAGAAUUGGUUCACGAUAAGCGUGAAAAUAUAUGCACACAUAUAUGAGAUAUAUAUAAGAUACACUUAUAUAGAAAUUAAAGAAUAAUACACGAAAAUACUUUUUGAAUGUAUCCAUCCUUCAUAAUCACUAACAAUAAAGACACGUAAAACGAAGAUGUGUAAUAGGCAACCACGUGCAAAGGGACGCAACGAAAUGCGCAUGCGCGUAUUUUGAGGCGGGAAGUGCGCGUGAACGUUCAUAGAAUACGAAACAUGGUAGAUCAUAUAUACGCAAUGAUACACGUGUAUUGUUACUAUGUGUAUGCACUAUACACGGAUAAAUAUGAAAAAACAUAAAACAUGAAUGAGAGAACGUAUCAAUGAGAAUCAUAUACACGUACACAUAUAUACACUUUAAUAUUUUCACCAUAAGAAGGAAUACGUCUGAAACUCUAUACGUUAAGACCGGUUGAUUACCUUUCCUUGCGAAGCCACUGUCACCGACUGUCGAAAUUCCAGGGAGUGGGUGCAAAAGAAAUAGGCCGGAGCGAAACGCGCGCGUGUUCGUGAUCGCGUCGUGCGCGUGUACUAAGACGGUACGCGCGAUGUGACCGAGAGUAAGCGCGAUCAGUGUAUCCCGUCGGGUGUGCACGGCUUCCAUCGGUCACCGAUAACGACCGAAUGCCAGAUUGGUCCGUCUCGAGCUCACAGGAUCGUCCCGUUGGAUAUAUGUUUCGACUCACGGCGCCUGAUGAUCUGCUGGCAGCACGAAGCGUGACGUAAUAAACGUAGAAAGUUACAAUUAUAUUAUGGAAAUUCUUAUUCAAAAAUUCUUUACAAGUUUCACAAUAAUCACGAUGAUUAGUAUUUCCGUAGAUCUUGAUCCUUUUUUUGCAACAUUAAUCGUUAAAUUUUUUACAGAAUAUAUUAAAAUAUCUUGUCAACGAAACUGGUUCGCGAAGGAUAAAAGAAAUUCUUUUAAUCGUUUAAGCCAUUAAUAGUUGAUCGCCUACUGACGACAUAUUACUCGAAAAUUGCAAUCGAUUCUCAUCGAGACAGAUCGAGACGCCCGCGCAUCGUUCGAUCGAGAAUCGAAAUCGAUAUAGACCACCCUCCGGCUAUGAAAAGAUCGAACAGUUGCACGUAGUAACGAUAUGGAAUCGCAGUUUAUACGGUCAACACGCGCGACGCGAGUUCCGACGAUUGUCGAUAAGAACUCUGGAGGCGACUGUCCGAUAACCCGUUCCAGUAGAGAUUGUGUGACCACCGAACCACUUGACAACUCGUUUCGACGUUUCCAACCAUAAGACUGUGAUAGUGAGCUCGAUGACGCAAUUAGCGGUGAAAAAAAUUACUCAAAAUGUCCAGGCACAGAAACGAAAGAUAAUCCACCAUGAAUUCCAAGUAUCAUCGAGCAAAUUCACUCACGUAUGUGUCAUGAUCGUUGUCAACGAAGCUUGAACUUCGGUGUCACAUUCACGUUGCACGCAGCCUGGUGUCGUCUGCUCCGACUGAAGAAAAAGUGAACAGACCAAAGGGGCAAGUGCCAUAAAAGUUAAUGGUAGUAGUGAAGUUUGAGGAUCGUGUAAAAGAGAUAAAAAAGAAAAAAAGAAAGAGAGGAAGGGAAAAAAAAGAAAAAGACAAGGAGGCUAGAGGCACGCGAUAAACUAUUGGAAAAAGCACGAAGUAAUCGCGAUAAAUAACGACAAAUCACUUGCAAUUCUCACGCGACAGAAAGAAAUGGAGGCGAUAAACCUCCUCUCUGUUUCCUACGUUUAGCCCCUCCUGUUACACAGUGGUGCUUAAACGAAAGUGUAAGUUUACUUAAGGUAGGUCGCGCCAAGAAUAUACGCCUAUCGCGCGACGAACUCUCAUUCCAUUCGAAAUAGAGGGAGAAAACGGUAUCAAUAGACGAUAUCGAAUGAUUUAAAAAAUUUCAAAAAUUUGUGUCUGAUGUGCAAUUAAAAACAUUCCAUA